rnacentral:rRNA from 1 species
GUGGGGAAUUUUGGACAAUGGGCGAAAGCCUGAUCCAGCCAUUCCGCGUGAGUGAAGAAGGCCUUCGGGUUGUAAAGCUCUUUCGGCAGGAACGAAACGGUCUUUUCUAAUACAAGAGGCUAAUGACGGUACCUGAAGAAGAAGCACCGGCUAACUACGUGCCAGCAGCCGCGGUAAUACGUAGGGUGCGAGCGUUAAUCGGAAUUACUGGGCGUAAAGCGUGCGCAGGCGGUUAUGUAAGACAGGUGUGAAAUCCCCGGGCUUAACCUGGGAACUGCGCUUGUGACUGCAUAACUCGAGUGUGGCAGAGGGGGGUGGAAUUCCACGUGUAGCAGUGAAAUGCGUAGAGAUGUGGAGGAACACCGAUGGCGAAGGCAGCCCCCUGGGUCAACACUGACGCUCAUGCACGAAAGCGUGGGUAGCAAACAGGAUUAGAAACCCCGGUAGUCC